rnacentral:rRNA from 1 species
ACGGCCGCGGUACCCUAACCGUGCGAAGGUAGCAUAAUCACUUGUUCUUUAAAUGAGGACUAGUAUCAACGGCAUCACGAGGAUCUUACUGUCUCCCUACUCCAAUCAGUGAAACUGAUCUCUCCGUGAAGAAGCGGGGAUACACAUAUAAGACGAGAAGACCCCAUGGAGCUUUAAACCUUGCAGCAUCUAUUCCUUCUACACCCUCAAAUUCCCUUAGUAACUGCUUGCUUGGUUUUAGGUUGGGGUGACCAUGGAGUAAAAAAUAACCUCCACGAAGAAAGGGAUAAAGCCCUCAUCAAAGAACCACAAUUCUAUGAAUUAGUACACUAACUUUUAAUGAUCCGAUAUUCGAUCAACGAACCAAGUUACCCUGGGGAUAACAGCGCAAUCCACCUCGAGAGCCCCUAUCGACAGGCGGGUUUACGACCUCGAUGUUGGAUCAGGGUUUCCCAGUGGUGCAGCAGCUACUAAAGGUUCGUUUGUUCAACGAUCAAAACCCU